GACGAACGCUGGCGGCGUGCUUAACACAUGCAAGUCGAACGGGAUGAUCUUAAAGCUUGCUUUUAGAGAAUCUAGUGGCAAACGGGUGAGUAACACGUAGACAACCUGCCGACAGGAUGGGGACAACAUUCCGAAAGGAAUGCUAAUACCGAAUGAAGCGGAGGAGAGGCAUCUCUCUUCCGUGAAAGAUGGCCUCUGAAUAUGCUAUCACCUGCCGAUGGGUCUGCGUCUGAUUAGCUAGUUGGUGAGGCAACGGCUCACCAAGGCGACGAUCAGUAGCCGGUCUGAGAGGAUGAACGGCCACAUUGGGACUGAGACACGGCCCAGACUCCUACGGGAGGCAGCAGUGGGGAAUCUUCCGCAAUGGGCGCAAGCCUGACGGAGCAACGCCGCGUGAGUGAAGAAGGUCUUCGGAUCGUAAAGCUCUGUUGACGGGGACGAACGUGCGGAGUGC
rnacentral:rRNA from 1 species